CUUACCCAUUGGGGACAGACACCAAAAACAAAGGGAGCUACAAACCUGCAGCCUGCAAAAAGGAGAUCCCAAACACAGGAAGCAAAAUGAGAAGACAGAGAAACACACAGCAGAUGAAGGAGCAAGCUUCAACUUCUGAAGAGCAUGGAGUAAUUCAUGGAAGACCAACUUAUGCUCCGUAACACCAAAAACACCAGAUAAAUGUAUACGUUUGAAAAUAUCAGAGAUCUGCAGAAACAUCCAGAGGAGAAAACACCUUUCAGAGAAGGAGUCAACCUGAUGAAUUGAACACAAGGGCUGGCUUAAUCAACAAGCUGACUGGAAUAUGGAUGAACUCCCUAAUCUCUAGAUGUUUCUAAUUCUGAAAGUGUCUUGUGGGAGAGCCUAGCCUUAUCCAUAGGUUCAGUUUUGAAAGCAAGCAGAAUAAAAGAAGACUGCAAUUGUUCACAUGUGUUUGAAUUUACGUGCACUUAACAGUGUU